rnacentral:rRNA from 1 species
UACGUAGGGUGCGAGCGUUGUCCGGAAUUAUUGGGCGUAAAGAGCUCGUAGGCGGUGUGUCACGUCGGCCGUGAAAACCUGCAGCUUAACUGUGGGCGUGCGGUCGAAUACGGGCAUCACUGGAGUUCGGCAGGGGAGACUGGAAUUCCUGGUGUAGCGGUGGAAAUGCGCAGAUAUCAGGAGGAACACCAGUGGCGAAGGCGGAUCUCUGGGCCGAAUACUCUGAGGAGCGAAAGCUGGGGAGCAA